CCCUCCAGCCCCUGCCCCGCUACCCACCCCCCACCCCCCUGCCGGGCGGCAAGUAGCCGCUGCAAACCCUUCCCGGGGGACCUGGAAGGCUGGGCUGGGGUGCGGCGGGGGCGGAGCUCGGCGCCCUGCUGCCGCCGCCACCGCCGCCGCUGCCUGCGAAGCUACAGCCCCUUCCCCGGAUGCUCCGGCCCGGCGGCGCUGCCCUCCGUGGACAGGUGGGCGCAUCCCGGGCCUGACGGAGGAGCAGUCGGGCACGUGAACUCCCACCUCCAAUUUGGCUCCGUGCCGGGCGGCGGCGGCUGCAGCCCCGCGGUGGGGGCGGCCCCCGCGGUCUCCGCCCGGCUCCUGCGCGCCGCCUCUGCUCUUUGCAUAGUAAUUUCAGUUCCUGCGAGCACCCAGCUAGCUCCCGGAACGGGGCGAAAAAGGACCGCCGCUCCGGAGCCCGCCGGAGCUAUCCGUGUGGCGCCGAGAGCCGCCGCUUGGGAUAUGCGACGGGGAACCCCCGCCACAGCGCAGGCAGCGGCCCCGCGGCGCCGGGGAGAGCCCAGCGAGAGCAGAUUGAUCCUUCAGAGGAAUCGUCCCUGACUCCGUCCCUACACUGAGCUAAAACUGCUUCCCAGGUGGAACACUGUUCCGGGGAGAGCUCUGAGG
rnacentral:lncRNA from 1 species